rfam:Citrus sinensis cultivar Ridge Pineapple sweet orange scaffold00223_contig_7, whole genome shotgun sequence.
AUGCCAUGAUGAAGACAUCUUCUAGGCAACUCCUUAAAUCUUUCCCAAGCCUCAUAUAAAUUUUCAUCUUUAAGUUGAUGAAAAGAGGUGAUUUCAUUCCAUAAUUUU